GUCUUUUAGAUAAUAAUUUAAAGUCGAAUCUGCCCACUGAUUUAAAAUUAAAGGGCUGCAGUAUAUUGACUGUACAAAGGUAGCAUAAUAAUUAGUCUUUUAAUUGAAGACUUGUAUGAAUGAUUUGAUGAAAUAUAAACUGUCUCUUUUUUAUAAUUAGAAUUUAAUUUUUUAGUAAAAAAGCUAAAAUUAAUUUAAAAGACGAGAAGACCCUAUAGAGUUUUAUAAUUGAUAUUAAUUAUAUGUUUAUAUAUAAAUUAAAAAUUAAUUAAUUUAAUUAUUUUAUUGGGGUGAUAAAAAAAUUAAAAAAACUUUUUUUUAUAAUAAACAUUAAUUAAUGAUUUAUUGAUCCAUAUGUUAUGAUUAAAAGAAAAAAUUACCUUAGGGAUAACAGCGUAAUAUUUUUUUUUAGUUCUUAUAAGAAAAAAAGUUUGCGACCUCGAUGUUGGAUUAAGAUAAAAUUUAAAUGCAGAAGUUUAAAAUUUUGAUCUGUUCGAUCAUUAAAAUCUUACA
rnacentral:rRNA from 1 species